rnacentral:rRNA from 1 species
GGGUUGUGAGGUUAAGCGACUAAGCGUACACGGUGGAUGCCCUGGCAGUCAGAGGCGAUGAAGGACGUGCUAAUCUGCGAUAAGCGUCGGUAAGGUGAUAUGAACCGUUAUAACCGGCGAUUUCCGAAUGGGGAAACCCAGUGUGUUUCGACACACUAUCAUUAACUGAAUCCAUAGGUUAAUGAGGCGAACCGGGGGAACUGAAACAUCUAAGUACCCCGAGGAAAAGAAAUCAACCGAGAUUCCCCCAGUAGCGGCGAGCGAACGGGGAGCAGCCCAGAGCCUGAAUCAGUGUGUGUGUUAGUGGAAGCGUCUGGAAAGGCGCGCGAUACAGGGUGACAGCCCCGUACACAAAAAUGCACAUGCUGUGAGCUCGAUGAGUAGGGCGGGACACGUGGUAUCCUGUCUGAAUAUGGGGGGACCAUCCUCCAAGGCUAAAUACUCCUGACUGACCGAUAGUGAACCAGUACCGUGAGGGAAAGGCGAAAAGAACCCCGGCGAGGGGAGUGAAAAAGAACCUGAAACCGUGUACGUACAAGCAGUGGGAGCACGCUUAGGCGUGUGACUGCGUACCUUUUGUAUAAUGGGUCAGCGACUUAUAUUCUGUAGCAAGGUUAACCGAAUAGGGGAGCCGAAGGGAAACCGAGUCUUAACUGGGCGUUAAGUUGCAGGGUAUAGACCCGAAACCCGGUGAUCUAGCCAUGGGCAGGUUGAAGGUUGGGUAACACUAACUGGAGGACCGAACCGACUAAUGUUGAAAAAUUAGCGGAUGACUUGUGGCUGGGGGUGAAAGGCCAAUCAAACCGGGAGAUAGCUGGUUCUCCCCGAAAGCUAUUUAGGUAGCGCCUCGUGAAUUCAUCUCCGGGGGUAGAGCACUGUUUCGGCAAGGGGGUCAUCCCGACUUACCAACCCGAUGCAAACUGCGAAUACCGGAGAAUGUUAUCACGGGAGACACACGGCGGGUGCUAACGUCCGUCGUGAAGAGGGAAACAACCCAGACCGCCAGCUAAGGUCCCAAAGUCAUGGUUAAGUGGGAAACGAUGUGGGAAGGCCCAGACAGCCAGGAUGUUGGCUUAGAAGCAGCCAUCAUUUAAAGAAAGCGUAAUAGCUCACUGGUCGAGUCGGCCUGCGCGGAAGAUGUAACGGGGCUAAACCAUGCACCGAAGCUGCGGCAGCGACGCUUAUGCGUUGUUGGGUAGGGGAGCGUUCUGUAAGCCUGCGAAGGUGUGCUGUGAGGCAUGCUGGAGGUAUCAGAAGUGCGAAUGCUGACAUAAGUAACGAUAAAGCGGGUGAAAAGCCCGCUCGCCGGAAGACCAAGGGUUCCUGUCCAACGUUAAUCGGGGCAGGGUGAGUCGACCCCUAAGGCGAGGCCGAAAGGCGUAGUCGAUGGGAAACAGGUUAAUAUUCCUGUACUUGGUGUUACUGCGAAGGGGGGACGGAGAAGGCUAUGUUGGCCGGGCGACGGUUGUCCCGGUUUAAGCGUGUAGGCUGGUUUUCCAGGCAAAUCCGGAAAAUCAAGGCUGAGGCGUGAUGACGAGGCACUACGGUGCUGAAGCAACAAAUGCCCUGCUUCCAGGAAAAGCCUCUAAGCAUCAGGUAACAUCAAAUCGUACCCCAAACCGACACAGGUGGUCAGGUAGAGAAUACCAAGGCGCUUGAGAGAACUCGGGUGAAGGAACUAGGCAAAAUGGUGCCGUAACUUCGGGAGAAGGCACGCUGAUAUGUAGGUGAGGUCCCUCGCGGAUGGAGCUGAAAUCAGUCGAAGAUACCAGCUGGCUGCAACUGUUUAUUAAAAACACAGCACUGUGCAAACACGAAAGUGGACGUAUACGGUGUGACGCCUGCCCGGUGCCGGAAGGUUAAUUGAUGGGGUUAGCGCAAGCGAAGCUCUUGAUCGAAGCCCCGGUAAACGGCGGCCGUAACUAUAACGGUCCUAAGGUAGCGAAAUUCCUUGUCGGGUAAGUUCCGACCUGCACGAAUGGCGUAAUGAUGGCCAGGCUGUCUCCACCCGAGACUCAGUGAAAUUGAACUCGCUGUGAAGAUGCAGUGUACCCGCGGCAAGACGGAAAGACCCCGUGAACCUUUACUAUAGCUUGACACUGAACAUUGAGCCUUGAUGUGUAGGAUAGGUGGGAGGCUUUGAAGUGUGGACGCCAGUCUGCAUGGAGCCGACCUUGAAAUACCACCCUUUAAUGUUUGAUGUUCUAACGUUGACCCGUAAUCCGGGUUGCGGACAGUGUCUGGUGGGUAGUUUGACUGGGGCGGUCUCCUCCUAAAGAGUAACGGAGGAGCACGAAGGUUGGCUAAUCCUGGUCGGACAUCAGGAGGUUAGUGCAAUGGCAUAAGCCAGCUUGACUGCGAGCGUGACGGCGCGAGCAGGUGCGAAAGCAGGUCAUAGUGAUCCGGUGGUUCUGAAUGGAAGGGCCAUCGCUCAACGGAUAAAAGGUACUCCGGGGAUAACAGGCUGAUACCGCCCAAGAGUUCAUAUCGACGGCGGUGUUUGGCACCUCGAUGUCGGCUCAUCACAUCCUGGGGCUGAAGUAGGUCCCAAGGGUAUGGCUGUUCGCCAUUUAAAGUGGUACGCGAGCUGGGUUUAGAACGUCGUGAGACAGUUCGGUCCCUAUCUGCCGUGGGCGCUGGAGAACUGAGGGGGCUGCUCCUAGUACGAGAGGACCGGAGUGGACGCAUCACUGGUGUUCGGGUUGUCAUGCCAAUGGCACUGCCCGGUAGCUAAAUGCGGAAGAGAUAAGUGCUGAAAGCAUCUAAGCACGAAACUUGCCCCGAGAUGAGUUCUCCCUGACUCCUUGAGAGUCCUGAAGGAACGUUGAAGACGACGACGUUGAUAGGCCGGGUGUGUAAGCGCAGCGAUGCGUUGAGCUAACCGGUACUAAUGAACCGUGAGGCUUAACCUUACAACGCCGAAGGUGUUU